CAGGCGAGGCGCGCACAGUGUGUGAUGAGUGAACUGUGAAUGAAAUUUGCAUAUAAAUAGAAGCGAUCAAGCUAAUCUGGGCAGUGGAUUAGAGGUGGAUAAUUUGCAUAAGAAUAGUCUAGACCGAGACAGGCGCAGGCACGAGUUAAGUAUAGUAUAAAUAAAUUAGAAAUGUUUUCGGUCAUUCGUUCUAAUUCGUUUGCUUAUACUACUACACUCGUGAAAAUACAUCGUUUGUUUGGUUUAGUUCACAGUUCCAUUAUUAAGUUUCAAUAUAAUAGUGGAAAUAUCUACCUCAUUAGUCUUAUUUACUAGACUAAGCCAAAUGUGUACGGCACGCGCUUUAUCAGUCGAUCUAUCUUCAGUCAACAUGCAUGACGUAUAGACGAUCAGCUGUUUCUCGUUGUGAAUGGGAUGGAUGGGAGGAGGGUUUUCAGCCGGCCGCGCCGGAAACCGGAGCUUCGAAUUCUCUACAGUCAAGGCACAAACGGUCCACGCCAGUGGUAGCAGCAGUGACUGGGCAGCAACCAGUCAGAUGAAAAAGACAGUUUUGAAAACAUUUAGUGAUGGCAAUCAAACAACUGGCAAGUUCCGUCAAAUAGAUUUGGAGAAAGUCGCAGAUACUUUGGGGAAACCUGAAGAGGGGCUCCAGGACAUUUUGUCCACUGUGAAGGCCGUCACAGAGGACCUCGUUUAUAAUUGUGAGGACAGUGAGGACUCUGAAACUUCUUCGGGUGCCGAUAGUUCAACCAGUCUUGAGAGUGAAGCAAGGGAGCCGCGAAAAAAGAAGAGGAAGCUAUUAGGGGUAAUUGGCCGAAUGGGGGAAUAAACUAUCAUAACCUACUUGCUAAUUGGGAUAAACUUAUACUUCAAACUUUGAUUUUAAUAGGCAUUAUAUGUCAUAAUGGAUACCUAAUGAUGUAUAAAAUAACUGGUUUCAAUGUCCAGGUAUAAUGUUAUACCACAAACUAUCUAAGUUUAUAUUUCAUACUUACAACCGUAAGAAGUACAUUACAGAGUAUCAUACAGCCGUACUUUGGCAAAGGAAACAAGUUACAAAACAUUAAUUUGUUGAAAAUGAGUAAUGUGUGUUCAUCAUAUAAAUAGGUGUAAUUGCAAUUUUACAGCAGUUUUUCUUCAGUAUCUUUCAUUGAACAAUCACUUCUUCACCAAAUUCAGCCUGAAUGUGCCACAUACAAAGGGUGUUUCAGAAACAGCAAUAACUCAAAUUUAAGUGAUGUGUCACUUGCUUCCUUUUGCCAAAGUUGGGCAGGUAUAAGCUUAUCACUUUUGAUUUGUAUUGCCUCAUACAUUGCAGAGUAUCAUACAGGUAUAAGCUUAUCCCGUUUGAUUUGUAUUGCCUCAUACAUUGCAGAGUAUCCUACAGGUAUAAGCUUAUCCCAUUUGACUUGUAUUACCUCAUACAUUGCAGAUAAUCAUACAGGGAUAAGCUUAUCCCAUUUGAUUUGUAUAACCACAUACAUCGCAGAGGAUCAUAAAGGUAUAAGCUUAUCCCAUUUGAUUUAUAUUGCCUCGUACAUUGUAGAGUGUCAUACAGGUAUAAGCUUAUCCUAUUUGAUUUGUAUAACUUGUACAUUGCAGAGUAUCGUAGUGGUAUAAGCUUAUCCCUUUUGAUUUGUACUACCUCAUACAUUGCAGAGUAUCGUACUGGUAUAAGCUUAUCCCAUUUGAUUUGUAUUACUCGUACAUUGCAGAGUAUCAUACAGGUAUAAGCUUAUCCCAUUUGAUUUCCAUAACCUCAUACAUUACAGAGUAUCCUACAGGUAUAAGCUUAUCCCAUUUGAUUUGUAUUACCUCAUACAUUGCAGAGAAUCAUUCAGGUAUAAGCUUAUCCCAUUUGAUUUGAAUUACCUCAUACAUUGCAGAGUAUCGUACAGGGAUAAGCUUAUCCCUUUUGAUAUGUAUUGCCUCAUACAUUGUAGAGUAUCCGACAGGUAUAAGCUUAUCCCAUUUGAUUUGUAAAACUCGUACAUUGCAGAGUAUAGUACUGGUAUAAGCUUAUCCCUUUUGAUUUGUAUUGCCUUGUCCACUACAGAGUAUCAUGCAGGUAUAAGCUUAUCCCUUUUGAUUUGUAUUGCCUCAUACAUUGCAGAGUAUCCUGCAGGGAUAAGCUUAUCCCAUUUGAUAUGUAUAACUUGUACAUUGCAGAGUAUCGUAGUGGUAUAAGCUUAUCCCUUUUGAUUUGUACUACCUCAUACAUUGCAGAGUAUCGUACUGGUACAAGCUUAUCCCAUUUGAUUUGUAUUACUCGUACAUUGCAGAGUAUCAUACAGGUAUAAGCUUAUCCCAUUUGAUUUCCAUAACCUCAUACAUUACAGAGUAUCCUACAGGUAUAAGCUUAUCCCAUUUGAUUUGUAUUACCUCAUACAUUGCAGAGAAUCAUUCAGGUAUAAGCUUAUCCCAUUUGAUUUGAAUUACCUCAUACAUUGCAGAGUAUCGUACAGGGAUAAGCUUAUCCCUUUUGAUAUGUAUUGCCUCAUACAUUGUAGAGUAUCCGACAGGUAUAAGCUUAUCCCAUUUGAUUUGUAAAACUCGUACAUUGCAGAGUAUAGUACUGGUAUAAGCUUAUCCCUUUUGAUUUGUAUUGCCUUGUCCACUACAGAGUAUCAUGCAGGUAUAAGCUUAUCCCUUUUGAUUUGUAUUGCCUCAUACAUUGCAGAGUAUCCUGCAGGGAUAAGCCUAUCCCAUUUGAUAUGUAUAACUUGUACAUUGCAGAGUAUCGUACUGGUAUAAGCUUAUCCCAUUUGAUUUGUAUUACUCGUACAUUGCAGAGUAUCCUACAGGUAUAAGCUUAUCCCUUUUGAUAUGAAUUACCUCAUACAUCGCAAAGUAUCUUACAGGUAUAAGCUUAUCCCAUUUGAUAUGUAUUGCCUCAUACAUUGUAGAGUAUCGUACAGGUAUAAGCUUAUCCCAUUUGAUUUGAAUUACCUCAUACACUGCAGAGUAUCGUACGGGGAUAAGCUUAUCCCAUUUGAUAUGUAUUGCCUCAUACAUUGUAGAGUAUCGUACAGGUAUAAGCUUAUCCCAUUUGAUUUGAAUUACCUCAUACACUGCAGAGUAUCGUACGGGGAUAAGCUUAUCCCUUUUGAUAUGUAUUGCCUCAUACAUUGUAGAGUAUCGUACAGGUAUAAGCUUAUCCCAUUUGACUUGUAUUCCUCAUACACUGCAGAGUAUCGUACGGGGAUAAGCUUAUCCCUUUUGAUAUGUAUUGCCUCAUACAUUGUAGAGUAUCCUACAGGUACCGGGUAUAAGCUUAUCCUUUGGAUUUGUAUUACCUCAUACACUGCAGAGUAUCGUACAGGGAUAAGCUUAUCCCUUUUGAUAUGUAUUGCCUCAUCCAUUGUAGAGUAUCGUACAGGUAUAAGCUUAUCCCAUUUGAUUUGAAUUACCUCAUACACUGCAGAGUAUCGUACGGGGAUAAGCUUAUCCCUUUUGAUAUGUAUUGCCUCAUACAUUGUAGAGUAUCAUACAGGUAUAAGCUUAUCCCAUUUGAUUUCCAUAACCUCAUACAUUACAGAGUAUCCUACAGGUAUAAGCUUAUCCCAUUUGAUUUGUAUUACCUCAUACAUUGCAGAGAAUCAUUCAGGUAUAAGCUUAUCCCAUUUGAUUUGAAUUACCUCAUACAUUGCAGAGUAUCGUACAGGGAUAAGCUUAUCCCUUUUGAUAUGUAUUGCCUCAUACAUUGUAGAGUAUCCUACAGGUAUAAGCUUAUCCCAUUUGAUUUGUAAAACUCGUACAUUGCAGAGUAUAGUACUGGUAUAAGCUUAUCCCUUUUGAUUUGUAUUGCCUUGUCCACUACAGAGUAUCAUGCAGGUAUAAGCUUAUCCCUUUUGAUUUGUAUUGCCUCAUACAUUGCAGAGUAUCCUGCAGGGAUAAGCUUAUCCCAUUUGAUAUGUAUAACUUGUACAUUGUAGAGUAUAGUAGUGGUAUAAGCUUAUCCCUUUUGAUAUGAAUUACCUCAUACAUCGCAGAGUAUCUUACAGGUAUAAGCUUAUCCCAUUUGAUAUGUAUUGCCUCAUACAUUGUAGAGUAUCGUACAGGUAUAAGCUUAUCCCAUUUGAUUUGAAUUACCUCUUACACUGCAGAGUAUCGUACGGGGAUAAGCUUAUCCCUUUUGAUAUGUAUUGCCUCAUACAUUGUAGAGUAUCGUACAGGUAUAAGCUUAUCCCAUUUGACUUGUAUUCCUCAUACAUUGUAGAGUUUCCUACAGGUACCGGGUAUAAGCUUAUCCUUUGGAUUUGUAUUACCUCAUACACUGCAGAGUAUCGUACUGGUAUAAGCUUAUCCCAUUUGAUUUGUAUUACUCGUACAUUGCAGAGUAUCAUACAGGUAUAAGCUUAUCCCAUUUGAUUUCCAUAACCUCAUACAUUACAGAGUAUCCUACAGGUAUAAGCUUAUCCCAUUUGAUUUUUAUUAUCUCAUACAUUGCAGAGAAUCAUUCAGGUAAAAGCUUAUCCCAUUUGAUUUGAAUUACCUCAUACAUUGCAGAGUAUCGUACAGGUAUAAGCUUAUCCCAUUUGAUUUGUAAAACUCGUACAUUGCAGAGUAUAGUACUGGUAUAAGCUUAUCCCUUUUGAUUUGUAUUGCCUUGUCCACUACAGAGUAUCAUGCAGGUAUAAGCUUAUCCCUUUUGAUUUGUAUUGCCUCAUACAUUGCAGAGUAUCCUGCAGGGAUAAGCUUAUCCCAUUUGAUAUGUAUAACCUGUACAUUGCAGAGUAUCGUAGUGGUAUAAGCUUAUCCCUUUUGAUUUGUACUACCUCAUACAUUGCAGAGUAUCGUACUGGUAUAAGCUUAUCCCAUUUGAUUUGUUUUACUCGUACAUUGCAGAGUAUCCUACAGGUAUAAGCUUAUCCCUUUUGAUAUGAAUUACCUCAUACAUCGCAGAGUAUCUUACAUGUAUAAGCUUAUCCCAUUUGAUUUGUAUUGCCUCAUACAUUACAGAGUAUCCUACUGGUAUAAGCUUAUCCCAUUUGAUUUGUAUUACUCGUACAUUGCAGAGAAUCAUUCAGGUAUUAGCUUAUCCCAUUUGAUUUGAAUUACCGGUACGUCAUACAUCGCAGAGUUUCAUACAGAGAUAAGCUUAUCCCAUUUGAUUUGAAUUACCUCAUACAUUGCAGAGUAUCGUAAAGGGAUAAGCUUAUCCCUUUUGGUAUGUAUUGCCUCGUACAUUGUAGAGUAUCCUACAGGUAUAAGCUUAUCCCAUUUGAUUUGUAAAACUCGUACAUUGCAGAGUAUAGUACUGGUAUAAACUUAUCCCUUUUGAUUUGUAUUGCCUUGUCCACUACAGAGUAUCAUGCAGGUAUAAGCUUAUCCCUUUUGGUUUGUACUACCUCAUACAUUGCAGAGUAUCCUGCAGGGAUAAGCUUAUCCCAUAUAAUUUGAAUUUCUGGUACCUCAUACAUUGCAAAGUUUCCUACAGGGAUAAGCUUAUCCCAUUUGAUUUGAAUUACCUCAUACAUUGCAGAGUUUCGUACAGGGAUAAGCUUAUCCCUUUUGAUUUGUAUUGCCUCAUACAUUGUAGAGUAUCGUACAGGGAUAAGUUCAUCCCGUUUGAUUUGUAUUACCUCAUACAUUGCGAAGUAUCAUACAGGUAUAAGCUUAUCCCAUUUGAUUUGAAUUUCUUGUACCUCAUACAUUGCAAAGUAUCCUACAGGGAUAAGCUUAUCCCUUUUGAUUUGUACUAUCUCAUACAUUGCAGAGUAUCCUACAGUUACUUGUACAAUGGGGAAUGUCAUAUAGGUAUAAGCUUAUCCCAUUUGAUUUGAAUUACCGGUACCUCAUACAUCGCAGAGUGUCAUACAGGGAAUCUGGAUAAGCUUAUCCCAUUUGAUUUGUAUUGCCUCGUAAAUUGUAGAGUGUCAUACAGGUAUAAGCUUAUCCCUUUUGAUUUGUAUUGCCUCAUACAUUGUAGAGUAUCAUACAGGUAUAAGCUUAUCCCUUUUGAUUUGAAUUACCUCAUACAUUGCAGAGUAUCCUACAGGUAUAAGCUUAUCCCUUUUGAUUUGUAUAACUUGCACAUUGCAGAGUAUCGUAGUGGUAUAAGCUUAUCCCUUUUGAUUUGUACUACCUCAUACAUUGCAGAGUAUCGUACUGGUAUAAGCUUAUCCCAUUUGAUUUGUAUUACUCGUACAUUGCAGAGUAUCGCACAGGGAUAAGCUUAUCCCUUUUGAUAUGUAUUGCCUCAUACAUUGCAGAGUAUCAGACAGGGAUAAGCUUAUCCCUUUUGAUUUGUAUUGCCUCAUACAUUGCAGAGUAUCCUACUGGUAUAAGCUUAUCCCAUUUGAUUUGUAUUACCUCAUACAUUGCAGAGUAUCGUACAGGUAUAAGCUUAUCCCGUUUGAUUUGUAUUACCUCAUACAUUGCAGAGUAUCAGACAGGGAUAAGCUUAUCCCUUUUGAUUUGUAUUGCCUCAUACAUUGCAGAGUAUCCUACUGGUAUAAGCUUAUCCCUUUUUGGUGAUUCGUACUACCUCAUGCAGUGCAGAGUAUGAUACAGAUAUAAGCUAAUCCCUCAAACUGUCUGGCUUUCGUGUCGAGGUAUAAGCUUAUACCCUAAUUAUCCAGUUUCAAUUAUAUGAGUUUAUAUGAUAUACUGGCUACAUGACGAGGUAUAAGCUUAUCCCUAAAACUAUUCUGGUUUUAAAGUCCAUGUUUAUAACUUAUACAAAUCCGACCACCUUCAAGAUACAAGCUUAUACAUUUUUUCAAACAAUUUUGUUUGCUCAAUGAUAUUCAAUCGUAUUUAUUGUUGAAUAAUUGUAAAGUUCUCUUUUGGAUUUGUUUUGUGAAAUAAAUUGUAUAUCUUUAACCGA